rnacentral:lncRNA from 1 species
UUCCUGGAGAUUGCGCCUGCAUCUUUGCAGGGGCUGGGACAGACAAUUCGGAACUCACCAGGACGGGCACUUCUGAGCAGAAAUCAUGCCUUGGGGUCACCUCAACUUUUCAGAUGAUUCAUGCCGUCAUCACUUCCCAUCUCGGAUCCUGGGCUCACAGCCAUCCCAAAGCCUUUCCUGCUCUGCUUGGCUGGAAACAGAUGCAGACUGACAGAUGUCUCCUUCAGGAACUGUGACAUCUUCACACCCAUCCUGGGGCAGCCACUCCCUUCCAGGCCUCUUCAGAGAACAGCUCUUCUUAGGGCUCUCCCAAGGCUACCAGGCCUGGUCCUGACACCCUCCAAUACCGGGCGUCUUCUCUCCCAGCUCUUUCCCCCUCCACCAGCCUCCAAGCACCCUCCUCUCCUUGCAUGCACCCCACUCAGUCCUAUUGGCUUCCAGUGCCUUAAUGUGACUUUCCCCUCCCCUCUUGCUGGGUGCAGUUCCACCCCUCUUAAGAUCUUCUCACUCUUUCUUCCUCUUGCUGCAAUGAUUUGGUUGUGGGGUUGGGUGGGGGGUACAUGCUCUUAGGAGUCCCCUUCAGCCAGUCAAGUGCCCACAUCCUCUGACUGCCUCUCCUACCCCACUUGCUGCCCCACCCCCUUUCCUUGGCUUGGCCUGCCUUUCCUGACAGUGACAGUCCCUUUCCACAUCCUAGGGUGCUGUGAGAACCAAACAAGACCAUAUACAUGAAGUGCGUUGUAAACCGUAAAAUCUCCAAAAGUAGGCCGCGCAC